rnacentral:rRNA from 1 species
GGCGCACGGGUGAGUAACACGUGAAUAAUCUACCUCCGAGUGGGGAAUAACUGAGGGAAACCUUAGCUAAUACCGCAUAAUACCUACGGGUCAAAGGAGCAAUUCGCUUUGGGAGGGGGUCUUCGGCGAUUAGUUAGUUGGGGGGUAAUGGCCACCAAGACAGUGAUCGGUAUCCGGCUGAAGGGGCACGGAACAUGGAACUGAAACACGGUCCAGACUCCUACGGGAGGCAGCAGUGGGGAAUUUUGCGCAAUGGGGGAAACCCUGACGCAGCAACGCCGCGUGGAGGAUGAAGUACUUCGGUACGUAAACUCCUUUCGAUCGGGACGAUAAUGACGGUACCGGAAGAAGAAGCCCCGGUAACUUCGUGCCAGCAGCCGCGGUAAUACGAGGGGGGCAAGCGUUGUUCGGAAUUAUUGGGCGUAAAGGGUGCGUAGGCGGUUUGGUAAGUCUUUUGUGAAAUCUACGGGCUCAACUCGUAGACUGCAAGGGAAACUGCCGGGCUUGAGUAUGGGAGAG